CUACGGGUGGCUGCAGUGAGGAAUAUUGCACGAUGGGGGGAACCCUGAUGCAGCAACGCCGCGUGGAGGAUGACGCAUUUCGGUGUGUAAACUCCUUUUAUAUGUCAAGAAAAUGACGGUAGCAUAUGAAUAAGCACCGGCUAACUCCGUGCCAGCAGCCGCGGUAAUACGGAGGGUGCAAGCGUUACUCGGAAUCACUGGGCGUAAAGGACGCGUAGGCGGGUUGGAAAGUCAGGUGUGAAAUCCUACAGCUUAACUGUAGAACUGCACUUGAAACUUCUAAUCUAGAGUAUGGGAGGGGGAGAUGGAAUUAGUGGUGUAGGGGUAAUAUCCGUAGAUAUCACUAGGAAUACCUAAAGCGAAGGCGAUCUCCUGGAACAUUACUGACGCUAAGGCGUGAAAGCGUGGGGAGCAAACAGGAUUAGAUACCCUCGUAGUC
rnacentral:rRNA from 1 species